rnacentral:rRNA from 1 species
CUACGGGAGGCUCCAGUGAGGAAUAUUGGUCAAUGGCCGAGAGGCUGAACCAGCCAUCCCGCGUGCAGGAUGACGGCCCUAUGGGUUGUAAACUGCUUUUCUACGCCAAGAAAUCUGAUUACGUGUAAUUAGUUGACGGUAGCGUAGGAAUAAGCAUCGGCUAACUCCGUGCCAGCAGCCGCGGUAAUACGGAGGAUGCAAGCGUUAUCCGGAUUCAUUGGGUUUAAAGGGUGCGCAGGCGGGCUUGUAAGUCAGUGGUGAAAUACUGCCGCUUAACGGUAGAACUGCCAUUGAUACUGCAAGUCUUGAAUAUGGUUGAGGUAGGCGGAAUGUGUUGUGUAGCGGUGAAAUGCAUAGAUAUGACACAGAACGCCGAUUGCGAAGGCAGCUUACUAAGCCAUUAUUGACGCUGAGGCACGAAAGCGUGGGGAGCGAACAGGAUUAGAUACCCCGUGUAGUC